UAAGGAAUUUUCCACAAUGGGCGAAAGCCUGAUGGAGCGACACCGCGUGCAGGAUGAAGGUCUUCGGAUCGUAAACUGCUUUUAUAUGGGACGAUUAUUCGGACUGUACCAUAAGAAUAAGCAUCGGCUAACUCCGUGCCAGCAGCCGCGGUAAUACGGGGGAUGCGAGCGUUAUCCGGAUUUACUGGGUUUAAAGGGUGAGUAGGUCGUAAUUUAAGUCUAUAAUUAAAAACCAAGGCUCAACUUUGGGAGUGUUGUAGAUACUAUUUUUACUAGAGGGCAGACGGGGGAAAUGGAAUUCCCGGUGUAGGGGUAAAAUCCGUUGAUAUCGGGAGGAACACCAGUGGCGAAGGCGAUUUCCUAGACUGCUUCUGACACUAAACCACUAAAGCUAGGGGAGCGAUACGG
rnacentral:rRNA from 1 species